ensembl:lncRNA
GGCAAAACUGGGUCCAUGCCAGUGUUCCUUGCAUCUCCCACUUUGCACGAGUUCAACGUAUAUGUGGUGGUUAACAGAGCGUUCUUUAGCUCUAGUUGGUCUUUUUGUUGUAGAAAUUAAUCUCGUGUUUUCUCUAAUGCCAAAAUAAGAGCUUCAUCCACACAUUGUGUAGCCUCUUCUUAGAAAUCUAUUGCGCUUCCCCGCUGCUUUUCGUAGAUAGUCCUCAUGGGAGCGGCACGUGGGUCAUUCUUGGGCUCAGCUCUGUCCCUCAGUCUUCACUCAAUCCCGUCACAGCAAACAAACUCCGCCUAUAAAAAUGGUCAGUCCACCGUGAUGUGCCAUCAAUAACAGGAAGUGACAUCAUUCAACACUGUUCAACUGCAUGGUACAGAAACAGGAGUGGGAACCAGUGUGUCGAGUGUGCGGGCUUGCUAUAGGCGAGCCCACAACGGUUUGGUGCAACGUGGCCCAUCCUGUUCUGCUGAAUCGGCAACGGGACCUGUCCUGGAUGGUCGCCCACGAGAUCCUCCCGGUCAGGGCCGUUAUGCACUCCCGGGGCAUGGCGAGGACAUCCGCGUGCCCCCGACCACGUUACGGCCAAGAUGAGUUGGUGAGGCACUUGCUCUGGGAGUGCAGAGCCGCCAGGGACCUGUGGAAGGAAUCAGGCCCCCUGAUCUCCCCGUGUCUGCCAGCAGGGGAGGACCUAAUGCCCCAGCUCGUGCUGUAUGGGGUGGGCCGAAAGGCCUAUUCCACCGAAGGCCUUCACCCAAGCUCUGGCCCACACUCACAUGUCUGAAGGAUGCACUGCGGUCCUCCCGCAACCUGCUGGUAGACCACCCCCAGGCAGUGGCCAUGGUAGCCACGGAAGCCCUGUUGUGGUACAGAAGAAAUGGGGCCUCGACCCCAGAUGAAGGGUCCCCCACAACACCCAAGGUCCCGGCGGCCACGGCACCAAGGGCGAUGCCCCUAGGGGAGGCAUCUGCUCUGGGCCCCGAAGGACAGGACGGUAAUUGAUUCAGAAGAGCAGGAGGAGGCGAGUUUGAUAAGGACUCACCCUGUUCCUGUACAAAGGACGGAAGACAGCUUUUUAACAUGUUUUCCAUAUCUUAAAAAUAUUUUACCUUUGUUAAAUAAUUUGUGCACAUUUUAAAUGGCUUUUACAAGAAAAUGUACUUUUAUUGAUGGUUGUUUUAUUGUUUUCAAUAAACAACUUGUACUUUUUAACAAAUAUAGAUGCAAUAUUCAAA